rnacentral:lncRNA from 1 species
UAACUGAAAAAAAAACAAAAAAACAAAAGAGAAAAAACGAAUCAGUCAAAAAAUUAAAAUAUUCAAUAUAAACUUGCAUCAUGGUUUUUAAAAUUAGGUCAGAGUGUCUACCAAACAUCGGGUUUCACAGCCAAUCUGAGAGCAAAUUUGGUCGGCCAAAAGCCCAACUGAAAAUUUGGAAACUUGGGUGAAACUAUUAAAUUUUAGGAAAAGCAUUUCAACUUUCUCAAUUAGUUAGGCUAAGCAGUUGGGAAGAAACAAAAUCCUUAAAAAGAUCCACCAACCAGUUAAAAAGUUAGAAAUCUUCCUUCUGUCCAAGAUUAGACUGAAAUUUACCAACCUAAACCAAGUUACAUUCAGGCCAAGAAAGAUUGGACUAAAAACAGUGCCCUUGAACUUCCACGUAAACACUACUUCAAUUCAGAUUCCAAAAACAUCAAACUAAAACCCAACAUAACAAUGAUACAUAAACAAAACAUAACCUAGCAUCAGGCUACCAAAUCAUACUAAAACCAAACAAAAAAAUUAGGAAACGCGAACACUGUAGUUACCAUCGCGCAGGUCAGUGUAUCCGCUCGAAAUCCGGACAGAUAAAAUCACUACCAACCCCAUGAAAACACGCG